rnacentral:lncRNA from 1 species
AGAUAUUUAAAUCUGCUGUACAUUUUCCCGUUUCUAAAGACAAUGAUUUCUUUUUUCCCCCGUGGAACUAAGUGGGCCUUGAUAAAAUCUUCUAGAAUUAGAAAUUUCAGGGUAAAGAACUUUUUUUUGCUUCGAAUGCUUUGGCCAUCUCUACAUUAGAAAGCCUUGGCCGGGCACGGUGGCUCAUGUCCGUAAUCCCAGCACUUUGGGAGGCCAAGGUGGGCGGAUCACGUGAGGUCAGGAGUUUGAGACCAGCCUGGCCAUCAUGGCGAAACCCCGUCUCUAUUAAAAAUACAUAAAAAUUAGCCAGGUGUGGUGGUGCAUGCCUGUGGUCCCCCCUACUCGGGAGGCUGAGGCAGAAUUGCUUGAAUCCAGAAGGCAGAGGUUGCAGUGAACCAAGAUCGUGCCACUGCACUCCAGCCUGGGCAACAGAGUGAGACCCUGUCUCAAAACAAAAACAAAACAAAAAAAAAACAAGCCUUGUGUUUCUGAGAUAUCUUCGAAUACAAGGCAAAAUUGGGAUUGAGAAUAACGGGAACUUUUGGCAGAUUAUUUAUCAACUUUAGUUUAUUUCAGAGUCCAGAUUGAGUGGGAAUAGUGAUACAGAUGCCUUCUUUCUUUCUUCUCUGUCUCCCCACCUGUUCUCUCCUGCCCAUCCAGCGGUAGGUAGUCCUUACUCAGAGAGUGGAAACAGAGAAAGGGCUUGUCUCAGACCCAUCGAGCUUUUGCCCAGUUUUUCCCUACAAAUUGUGAAGCAGAUUCACAGAGGACUUGCUUCAUGGUUGGUUCAUUCAUAUGCCCCUCAGCACCGACAGGCUGAAAUUAACAUAAAAACCAAAACAGAACCACUUCCUGUCCUGUGGAUAUCCUUACUGUUGAGUUAUUGCAGGUGUUUAGCUUCUUAACCAUUGCAGAAGCUCCCGGGUAGAUUGUGGAGGAAGCUGCCCUCCAGGCCUUUCCUGCCCCUUGGCAGACAACCCGAGCCAUUGUUAUUUUAAUCCAUUUCACACAUCAGAUUUUGGCUGAAGAUUUUGUUUGUUGGUUUGUUUUCAGACAGGGUCUUGCUCUGUCACCCAGCCUGGAGUGCAGUGGCGGGAUCAGGGUUCACUGCAGCUUUGACCUUCCUGAGCUCAAGUGAUCCUCCUUCCUCAGCCUCCUGAGUGGCUGGGACUACAAGUGCAUGCUACCACACCCGCUGAUAUUUUAUUUUUUGUAGAGGUGGCGUCUCGAAUUCCUGGUUUCAAGCGAUCCUCCCACCUUGGCCUCCCAAAGUGCUGGGGUUACAGGUGUGAGCCACUGUGCCUGGUCAGAUUUUAGUUUAAGAUUUUGUUUGAGCAAGGGUUAUGGCUGUUAACAAGCGAGCCAGACACUGGAUUAGAUGGCCUGUGAGAAACCUUUUACUUUUGCUGUGAAAGGAGAAAGAAACUUGUUUUUCCCACUGGUGAGAAGAAUUCAAACCACAGACAGAUCUGUAGGUAGGACUGGGACUCGGGAAGCUGAAGUUCUUUUUACUGGCAGAAGCAGCGCAGCCCUAAGCGGUGUUGUGCUUCGGAGAGUGUUCCCUCUAACAAGAGGGGAGUGGACCC